UACGAAGGGGGCUAGCGUUGCUCGGAAUUACUGGGCGUAAAGCGCACGUAGGCGGUCUUUUAAGUCGGGGGUGAAAUCCUGGAGCUCAACUCCAGAACUGCCUUCGAUACUGGAAGACUUGAGUCCGGGAGAGGUGAGUGGAACUGCGAGUGUAGAGGUGAAAUUCGUAGAUAUUCGCAAGAACACCAGUGGCGAAGGCGGAUCUCUGGGCCUUACCUGACGCUCAGGCGCGAAAGCUAGGGGAGCGAACGUGG
rnacentral:rRNA from 1 species